CAUACGCUCCAAUGCAUUUCUGGUUCUUGCCCGUUAGCGCCGUCAAAUUCCCCACCCUCCUCUCUCCGUGAUCGUUUUCUUGCUCCACCAUUGAACUCUUUGGGCAGCAUAUCUUUCCAUUAAUCGCAGGAGUUCGUUCGCGGGGCGGAGCGAUCGGAUGUCAAUGGGUGACAAUGGUGAUCCAUCGGAUGUCGGUGGGUGACAAUGGUGAUGCAAUCGGAUGAUGGGGUUGAGGAUUUCUUGCAAGAUUGAGAGCAUAUCAAUGCUCCUUUGUACAUUAUCGCAGUGGUGAUAAUGAAUGGGCAGCGGUGGUGGAGAUGAUUAAGUGCCAUUGAGAUCAAGAUCGAGAUAGGAAUAGGGAGAUUAAUGGCGGCGAACGAAUCAGCCGUUGGAGAUUAAUCAUCAGAAUAUCGUCCAAAUGCAUGACGUUAUUGAGUUGAGUUCGGAUGGGCCAGAGAUUGAGGGCGUAUCAAUGCUCCUUUGUACAUUGUCGCAGUGGUGGAGAUGAUUAAGUGCGGUUCAGAUGAAGAUCGAGAUAGAAACAGGAAGAUUAAUGGCGGAGAACGAUUCAGCCGUUGGAGAUUGAUAAUCAGAAUAUCAUCCGGAUGCAUGACGUUAUUGAGGUUGAGGGCAUAUCAAUGGUCCUUUCUACAUUGUCGCAGUGGUGUUAUUGAACGGGCAGCGGUGGUGGAGAUGAUUAAGUGCCAUUGAGAUCAAGAUCGAGAUAGGAAUAGGGAGAUUAAUGGCGGCGAACGAAUCAGCCGUUGGAGAUUAAUCAUCAGAAUAUCGUCCAAAUGCAUGACGUUAUUGAGUUGAGUUCAGAUGGGCCAGAGAUUGAGGGCGUAUCAAUGCUCCUUUGUACAUUGUCGCAGUGGUGGAGAUGAAGAUCGAGAUAGAAACAGGAAGAUUAAUGGCGGCGAACGAUUCAGCCGUUGGAGAUUGAUCAUCAGAAUAUCGUCCGGAUGCAUGACGUUAUUGAGGUUGAGGGCAUAUCAAUGGUCCUUUCUACAUUGUCGCAGUGGUGUUAUUGAACGGGCUGCGGUGGUGGAGAUGAUUAAGUGCCAUUUAGAUCAAGAUCGAGAUUAAUGGCGGCGAACGAAUCAGCCCUUGGAGAUUAAUCGUCAGAAUCUCGUCCGGAUGCAUGACGUUAUUGAGAUUGAGAGCAUAUCAAUGCUCCUUGUACAUUGUCGCAGUGGUGUUAUUGAAUGGCAGCGGUGGUGGAGAUGAUUAAGUGCCAUUGAGAUCAAGAUCGAGACAGAAACAGGGAGAUUAAUGGCAGCGAACAAAU